rnacentral:lncRNA from 13 species
ACUAAGAACAGUAUUCCCUUCCCUCCAGGAACAUUUCAGAAUGGACUCACGUUUUCUCCUGUUGAUGAACAUUGGCUUCCCAUUGCUAAACCAUCUUGCCACCUUGGAUGUGACAAAUUUAACAUACACGCCACUGGCUACAACGUUGUUGAUGUAAAUAUGACACUUACAACUCCUGCAGCCACCUUGCGACCGUGAGGGAACAAACCCAAGGAGCCAAGAAUCAGGAGGUGGCCAUUUGGAAAGGUUCGAAAACCUGAGCUGUCAGUCACACGUCUGAAGAUGGACUCCGUUCACUCCAGGACGACUCGUGAGCUGUCGGUGACACAUCUGAAGAUGGACUCCGUUCACUCCAGGACAAUUCGUGAGCUGUCGGUCACACAUCUGAAGACGGACUCCGUUCACUCCAGGACGAUUUGUGAGCUGUCAGUCACAUGUCUGAAGUAUCGACUUCUUUCACUCCAGGACGAUUCCGUUUCCUAACGGAUGAGAUGAAACCCAUGCUUCCGCCAUUGUGAAAUGCGUCCUUUGUUACCUGCAAUGGACAUACAUAUUCUGAAGCCUUUAUCUUUUAUACAUGCUGUAAGCUGUGUUUGCCACUGUGGAAAGUUGAGUAUGUAAGGAAAAGGAAUGGAGAACGGAAUGUGCUGGGGAGCACCGGCUGGCACAGUGGGCAGUGCAGGUCAACUGCUGGACCAAACACAGACAAAAACGGAUGUGAGGCUAAUCUCAGUGGCUGCAUGCAUUUACAUUUAUCUCUCACUGACAUGCAGAGCUCCUCUGUUCAGUGGGUGACAUCUCACAUGGCAGGCCCAGGCUCCCUCCCUCUUGUAGCUCCUCCCUGCCCCAGGUCUUCCCAGCCCUCUUCAUUCACAGAGAACAGAAGAGGAGGAGAUUUGAACGCAGACACGAACCACACGAAGACCCAGGGAGAAGAUGGCAUCUAUAUACCAAGGAGAGAGGCCUCGGGAGGACCCAGCUCUGCCGACAGCCUGAGGACUGACUUCCAGCCUCCGGAGUGGAGAGGAGAUGAUUCCCGCUGUCUAAGCCGCCCAGCCUGGCAAUGGCAGCCCCAGCAGGUGAACGCAUGCAGCUUGGGGAAUGACCAGAUCCCAGAAAUCUCCAGGGUUGGGGAAGUGGACAAGGCUGAACGCUGGAGAAGGGAGUGGGCUGGCCAGUGCACUUCAGUGAACGUGUGCUCCCAUCCUGCCUGUUGCCUUUGGGGUUUUAUCUUGAAAAUGAAAUGUAAAAUACGUAGGAGGUUUAAUAAUCGAAAAUUUCUGCCUUGUGGCUUUUCCUGAGGGCAAGAAAACAAUGGAGCUAAAAUUAGAAGAGAACAUGUUUGUACGGCUGGGGAGACAUUGUGAAGACAGAUAUUAAACUCAGAAUUUCCAAAGGCUGGCCAGGUUGGACAUGGAGACGGCCUCAUUGCCAGCAUCUGUUGAGUGCGCCAGCGUGGCCCUGCCACUAUUCCACUAUGGAAAGCGUCGCUCCCCACCAGGCUCAUGUCCACCUAGGACAUGCUACACGUAGGACCCACCAAGAUGCACAGAGGACCUGUGGAUGUGAACGUGUUAAAAUUCAAACCUCACGGCUCAAACCAUGAGCACAACGAAAGUCAAACAAGAACUGGGGAAAUAUUUCACAGUGUAUGUUUGGACACACGGCUGAUGAGCUGGAGACAUGAAUGCAGUAUCAUAAAUAAACCAUAAAAAUUCUGCCA